AGACCCGAAACCCGGUGAUCUAGCCAUGGGCAGGUUGAAGGUUGGGUAACACUAACUGGAGGACCGAACCGACUAAUGUUGAAAAAUUAGCGGAUGACCUGUGGCUGGGGGUGAAAGGCCAAUCAAACCGGGAGAUAGCUGGUUCUCCCCGAAAGCUAUUUAGGUAGCGCCUCGUGAAUUCAUCUCCGGGGGUAGAGCACUGUUUCGGCUAGGGGGCCAUCCCGGCUUACCAACCCGAUGCAAACUGCGAAUACCGGAGAAUGUUAUCACGGGAGACACACGGCGGGUGCUAACGUCCGUCGUGAAGAGGGAAACAACCCAGACCGCCAGCUAAGGUCCCAAAGUCAUGGUUAAGUGGGAAACGAUGUGGGAAGGCCCAGACAGCCAGGAUGUUGGCUUAGAAGCAGCCAUCAUUUAAAGAAAGCGUAAUAGCUCACUGGUCGAGUCGGCCUGCGCGGAAGAUGUAACGGGGCUAAACCAUGCACCGAAGCUGCGGCAGCGACGCUGAUGCGUUGUUGGGUAGGGGAGCGUUCUGUAAGCCUGCGAAGGUGUGUCGUGAGGCAUGCUGGAGGUAUCAGAAGUGCGAAUGCUGACAUAAGUAACGAUAAAGCGGGUGAAAAGCCCGCUCGCCGGAAGACCAAGGGUUCCUGUCCAACGUUAAUCGGGGCAGGGUGAGUCGACCCCUAAGGCGAGGCCGAAAGGCGUAGUCGAUGGGAAACGGGUUAAUAUUCCCGUACUUGGUGUUACUGCGAAGGGGGGACGGAGAAGGCUAUGUUGGCCGGGCGACGGUUGUCCCGGUUUAAGCGUGUAGGUGUGUGUUCCAGGUAAAUCCGGUUCACUUUAACACUGAGGCGUGAUGACGAGGCACUACGGUGCUGAAGCAACAAAUGCCCUGCUUCCAGGAAAAGCCUCUAAGCAUCAGGUAACAUCAAAUCGUACCCCAAACCGACACAGGUGGUCAGGUAGAGAAUACCAAGGCGCUUGAGAGAACUCGGGUGAAGGAACUAGGCAAAAUGGUGCCGUAACUUCGGGAGAAGGCACGCUGACACGUAGGUGAAGUGAUUUACUCAUGGAGCUGAAGUCAGUCGAAGAUACCAGCUGGCUGCAACUGUUUAUUAAAAACACAGCACUGUGCAAACACGAAAGUGGACGUAUACGGUGUGACGCCUGCCCGGUGCCGGAAGGUUAAUUGAUGGGGUCAGCGCAAGCGAAGCUCCUGAUCGAAGCCCCGGUAAACGGCGGCCGUAACUAUAACGGUCCUAAGGUAGCGAAAUUCCUUGUCGGGUAAGUUCCGACCUGCACGAAUGGCGUAAUGAUGGCCAGGCUGUCUCCACCCGAGACUCAGUGAAAUUGAACUCGCUGUGAAGAUGCAGUGUACCCGCGGCAAGACGGAAAGACCCCGUGAACCUUUACUAUAGCUUGACACUGAACAUUGAGCCUUGAUGUGUAGGAUAGGUGGGAGGCUUUGAAGUGUGGACGCCAGUCUGCAUGGAGCCGGCCUUGAAAUACCACCCUU
rnacentral:rRNA from 3 species